CGCGAAACGACUGGGGCGGGGAGCGGUUUCGGGGUUUCCACAAAAUCCUUUCUUUUUCCUUUCUCUCUUUAGGUUCGUCUUCUCUCCUCUGUAUCUGUUGGAUCCGUCUCUGUAUCUGUUUGUGAUAAGCACCACGGAGAAGAACAUUGACCAUCGGAAUCUUUAUCUUGCUAAGGAAGGUCAGAUCCUUGAAGGUACACCUGCUGCCGAGGGUGAGUCUGCAAAAGAUAUGGACAGGAGACGAAGAUUGCAUGAAAACAAGAUGAAAAAGCUUCAGUCUCCAAACUUCCAUGUAUCUAAAACGAGGAUUGUCAUUUAAUACUUAAAAAUUCACUAAGGCCCACUUAAGAAACAUUUAGGGGAUGUAAUCAACCGAGAGUUUCAGUUGAUUUGUAUUUAAAUGACAAAUCCAUUGUUAUUGAAACAUGAAUUUUAAAAGGGCU